GACGAACGCUGGCGGCGUGCUUAACACAUGCAAGUCGAACGGAAAGGCCCUGCUUUUGUGGGGUGCUCGAGUGGCGAACGGGUGAGUAACACGUGAGUAACCUGCCCUUGACUUUGGGAUAACUUCAGGAAACUGGGGCUAAUACCGGAUAGGAGCUCCUGCUGCAUGGUGGGGGUUGGAAAGUUUCGGCGGUUGGGGAUGGACUCGCGGCUUAUCAGCUUGUUGGUGGGGUAGUGGCUUACCAAGGCUUUGACGGGUAGCCGGCCUGAGAGGGUGACCGGCCACAUUGGGACUGAGAUACGGCCCAGACUCCUACGGGAGGCAGCAGUGGGAAAUAUUGCACAAUGGGCGGAAGCCUGAUGCAGCAACGCCGCGUGCGGGAUGACGGCCUUCGGGUUGUAAACCGCUUUCGCCUGUGACGAAGCGUGAGUGACGGUAAUGGGUAAAGAAGCACCGGCCAACUACGUG
rnacentral:rRNA from 1 species